rnacentral:rRNA from 1 species
UGCCAGCAGCCGCGGUAAUACGAAGGGGGCGAGCGUUGUUCGGAAUUACUGGGCGUAAAGGGCGCGCAGGCGGCUUCCCAAGUCAGGCGUGAAAGCCCCGGGCUCAACCUGGGAGGUGCGCAUGGGACUGGGGGGCUAGAGAUCGGGAGAGGAGCGUGGAAUUCCCAGUGUAGAGGUGAAAUUCGUAGAUAUUGGGAAGAACACCGGUGGCGAAGGCGGCGCUCUGGACCGGGACUGACGCUGAGGCGCGAAAGCGUGGGGAGCAAACAGGAUUAGAUACCCUGGUAGUCCACGCUGUAAACGAUGUGUGCUAGACGUUGGGGAGCCUAGCUCUUCGGUGUCGCAGCUAACGCGGUAAGCACACCGCCUGGGGAGUACGGCCGCAAGGUUAAAACUCAAAGGAAUUGACGGGGGCCC